AAGUCGUAACAAGGUUUCCGUAGGUGAACCUGCGGAAGGAUCAUUAAAGAUUCGGGCCUCACCGCCCUUACCUCUUCAGCUGUGCGCUUCGGCUGCACGCUGUUGAAACCUUCUCACACCCGUGCACCUUCUCGGUCGCGGCAGGCUCACGCCGGCCGCUUCCGCCCUUUUACAUACAACCACAUAGUCUAGCAUGUCUAAUACUAUAAAAAGUAACAACUUUCAACAACGGAUCUCUUGGCUCUC
rnacentral:misc_RNA from 1 species